CUUUGUCUUUUUCUUUUAUUUUCUUUUGAGCGAUUGUGCGAACAUAGCAUAGCACGCACUAUGCCUUCUGUGUUGUAGCUGCCUGGCCAGGGCGACUGGCGGAUAAGGUCUUGUGCGUGGCCUCGAGGCUUAAAAGUAGCAGUGGGGCUUUGUGAAGGACAAAAUGGCGAUGGCGGGCCGUGUAGGUCCCCCUUCCUAUGAUGAGGACCUUUUCACAGACCUGUACUGAGCUCCGUGAGGAUAAAUAACUCUGAGGAGAUGGGCCCUGCAAGCCUCUUGCUUAGCCGUCUGUUCAGAAAAUAGCGUUUUCGAAAUGCCCUGAGUUGACCUAAUGUCUUAUUGGGCUCCUGUCUGCAGGAUUUACGCGCACGUUGGAACCGAAGAGAGCUCUGUUGUUGCAAUGUUCAGCCCACAAGAGCUUACUGGUGAAGGAAUGGGACAAGACCCAUCUUUAUGCAAAGCCAGCGUUACAGUAAUGUUCCAGGUAGGUGUACAUGGUUUAUGCUCUUACAGAGGAGACCUUGUAGAUAACCACUCCAUGAUGAACACAAAAUGACAAGCAUAUGGCUGAACUUUCAAGUGAUGUCAUCUUACUACUGAGAAGUGAGAGAGAGGUCUUAAGGGGUCUUUGAAUGACUAUUUUUAGGUACAUAAAAUGCUUUCCUCUGUUGUCUACAGCAUCUCAUAAUCUAUCCUGGGGAAUUCAGCUGCCUCCCAGGGUGAAUACAGGUAAUUAUCCAAAUUGGUGUAUGUCAUCUUUGUAAAUGUUCAAGAAAACAAGUGGCCGGCGGAACAAUGUUUUUUGGCGCCUUCCAUCUUGUUCCUCUUGAAAUGAUUUUCUGGGGAGGGAGAUCGCAACCCGGUACUACAGUUCUUGUAAGGGUGUGCUGUUACCCUCAUCCAUAUAUCGAUCACGUUACUGUCAGAUGAUUUGAAUUGAUAAGCUGAUGUUCUGUGAGGUACAAAAGUUAAUAGCAUGUUAGAGUUCUGAUGGCAGUUGUUGUUUAUGAAUAAGCUUCAUUCCAUCCUAAUACCUUAAAAUAACUAAUUUGCUUUCCUUUCCAGGUAUUCCUGAUGACAGUCUGCCUCUAUCUUACAGUAAGUUGUUUUUCGAAUUCUAUGGGCCUAUUAUCUAAUAGAUAACUUAGCCAUUUUGAUAUUUGUUACCAAAGCCUGCUUAACCCAUAAAGUUUUCUGGUUCCUCUUGUUCUCUGUAGUGAUGUUUCUAGAUAGAUGCCCACUGAUAUAUGCCCCUUUUUUCUCAGAUAGAUGCCCACUGAUCUGCCCAGGGUCAGACGAAUGCUUGUCAGUUGUAGCUUUCCAGGAUUCUGCUCCAAUGAGGAGGAAACAUCCUGCCUUACCCCUGUUUUAGCCUGGGAACCAGUAAUUGUGAACUCACCAGGGUUAACAUGAAGAGGGCAUGAGAGCUUAUUCCAUAAGGAAUUGUCUGAGACAUUUGGUUACCUUUUCUUAGUUUGUCCAUUAGCAACCGUAACUAAAAUAGUUUUGGCUGUUUGGGAUAAUUAGCUAAUUGAAUGAUUUUUUGAUUCAGGAGCAGCUUGUUGCUAUAUACCAUUGAAAAGCCUUCAGAGCUGAGAGGUUAGUUGAUAUUUUUUGUUCCUUACAGCUUAUGCCACCAAGUAGGCAGUUUCUAUGAUGAAUCAAACUAGCUCACUAUGACCGACAGUGAAAAUACAUGAACACCUGAGAAACUGGAGAACGCAGGGAGUGGGGGGUAACCAUGUCUGAGGAAUCUUUCACCCACAGCUUUGUUUUUCUCUAGGUACUACUAACCAAUAACCUGCUUGGCUCAAAGGGCCAGCACCUUCUCUCUAAAGCCCAAGAGGAGUUUGAGGUAAAUGGCUUUGCAAUAGUUACCAUCAAUGGCUGCUAUAUAAAAUUUUCUGUGAUUUUUGUGUGUGAUAGCACUGUGGUCUGGGUGAAUGUACACAGACAUAACUGGCUUAACCCAAAGUCUUUGAUCUCCUGAACCACCAGUGAUGAAUUGCUGCUCACCAGUGAUGAGUUGAAUACCGCCCCAGUCUGAUCAAUGUGUGACUGAAAGGUAUUUUCUGAGCUGUGAGCCUGCCUUCCAGUGACAUGUUCUAAAAAUUGCAAGUUAUUUGAGGAGGCUUUACAGCCAAUAGGAAGUUCUUGGGCUAAGUAGUGUUUCCUAUAAAAUGUGCCCUGAAACUUCUUUCUGCCAAGCAAUAGAUACAAUUGAGAGAUUGUAAAAUGUGACAUAGAAUGAAAGUCUCUCAAGACUACAUUUUUCUUUCUUGAUUUUGCAGGAAAACUAGGUGUCUGUGUUCACUCCAGGCUGAAGUUACAGGUGAGUAAACCUAAAUGUAAGGUGGACUAUGCUAAAAAUUCCCAAUGAAGAAACUUUCACAUGUCUUACUCUCUGUCCUAGUCCCAGAGCCUGUAAAGGUGAACCCACUGGGACUGGCUGGGGGAGAAGAGGAAGAUUUGUUCCAGAAGGAACUGUCUGAGGGAUGAUAAAGAUUUCUAUACAGAGAAAGGGAGUAAUCAUCACUUGUUGAAAACAUUGGUUUUAUUUUUUCCAGGUCUGAGCAAAUAAGGUGUAUAAAAAAUGGAAUCUGUCUUGGAGGACAUCAGAAGGUGAAUUUUCCAAGUUCUUGGACAACCUAGCUGUUGAAAAGCUUUCUGGGUUUGGGGGGUAUUUCAGAUGUACCUUAAAGUGUUAGCAGACACAGAUUAAGACACUGGGAGCCAAUGAAACAGCAGUUGAGGGUUUGCUGUGUAUCACAUUUCUGUAUUUUAUCACCCCCUUCCUGCAACAUUAUUUAUCUGGAAUCUACCUGCCCUUUUGUUUUUUAGAUACAAGGGCUUGGUUUUGUUACCCAGGCUGGUUUCAAGGCCAUAGCUUUAAGAGAUCCUCUCACCACAGAUUUCCAAAGUGCUGGGAUUGCAGGUGUGAUUCAUGGCACCCAGACUUUGCUGCCUUUCUUACAUGAUCCAGGCCCAGAACCCAAACUCAGGCACUGUAUAGAUGACCACUUUCGUAAACUACUGACCUAGCUUGUUGCCAAUUGUUGAUUGAACUUCCCAUAACUCCACUUCGUGUCUGUUCCUCUGUAUACAGCCACCUUCUGUUCCCGUCAUGAGCCUUUAGGUCUCCAUUUGCAUAUUGCAAAUACUAUGUUCCAUGUAGGUAGCUCAUUCAGGGCCUUGCUCUUCACUUCAAAAAAGGUUCCCUUGAGGACUGGCUGUCAAUUUGUGUUGCUGUGUUGGUUGUUGAUGAAAAUAAUAAAAUGAUUGAUUACAUAGUCC
rnacentral:lncRNA from 1 species